AGUUGUGAUUUGAUUUAGAAUACCGACGAGAUAUAGAUAUACGAUAGAGCCGAGAUGCAAUAACAGAUGUAAUACUUCUUCAUAUUCCACGGUUGGAACAUCAACAAAUAAGAGACAAUUUCAUGAUUUUCGGUCAAAUGCGACGUUGCCGAUUCAGGGUCAAUGAAGAUUACAGCGCCAAAACCCAGGCGAGGCACAGAAAUAGGCACACGACUAUGAUACGUUGUAUUACAUUACAUAUCGCUAUAUCGAUUAUUAUCGAUAUAUAAUUUCUUCUAAUCGAUUUAUGCCGCCAUGAAAUGACAGUUUUACGCGGGAACUGCAGCAAGAAGAAGCAUUAUGGAAGUCAUUCGGGGGAUAAUUUUAGAUCUUAGAGAGAUAAAGAAAUUCAGUUUAAUCACGGAAAUUGGUACAAUUAGAAGCAGACGAGGUAUGAGAAGACGAAAUACUAUGGACAACGACGAAGAAAAGGAUUUUUGUUCCUUGCGAUUUGGGAAACGAAGUUUUUCACAACCUCCAUUUUCACCAUGGGGUUCAAUGCAUUCAUGAUAACUUCUUUUGAGCCACAGCAACAUUGAUAGUAUCAUAACCUGCAGUUAAUCGUGAGUCGAAUACAGUUUUGUUCCUCCGUUCAUCCAAUCAUGUUGUAGGACGAUAGGUCCGAAUCGACACGGAUGAGUAGUUGUAUUACGUAGAAUUUUUGGCGAGUGUGUGACCACGAGUAUUAAUUACACAUACUCGUGAGUAGUAAUAUCUUAUUUACUUUAUGUAUUAGUUCAGGAUAGGGUCUUCUUGCACACAUAUAUCGCGAUUUUUGAUGAUAAAAAUUUUAUAUCGAUAGUAUUAAUAUAAUCCGAGAAAAAUCAGAAUUUAUUCAACAUCGAUAUUUGCAAAAGUUUGUUAUAAAAGUAAAUAUUAAAAUUGCGUAAAUUACAAAAUGUCCCUGCAGAGAAGUCGGAUAUCCUCCGACUUCGAUUAUUUUAAGCUUGAGUAUAAGUUUACAUAUCAUGAUAUUAAAGUUCGAUGUUCAUUAUACAAAAAUGUUAAAUACCAAAUAUUAAAUGCAAGAAGACACUUCGCGGUAGGUAGAUUUCAGAAUCAAAGCAAUAAAUUUUAAACAUUGCUUUCAUGUAUUCGAAAAAGUGCUUUGAUGAAGGAGUCGCCUGUAGUUAUUUUCAUUUAUGUUUAACUUAAAGUCACUUAUCCUUACAAAUAAAUUUCUUGUUCAUUUGCAAUUUCUUUGUUUCAAUGAGAGAAUUUUAAUUGCUUAUCGAAUUAGUAAAGUAAAGCAUAAAGUUUUAACAAUAUAAAAUAAAAUUUUUAAAUGCAAAUUGUAAGAUCAUUAGUCCGUUAGAUGAAAGCUAGAAGCAUUAAUCAUUUUUUAGUUCAGGAUUUUCAGGUUUAACACUUUCCGUGAUCAUUGCUUGGAUCUUGCUCAUAUGCUGUUUGGGCGAGGUACUGGCAAUGGGCACGAGCAACUGACGAUGGUUAGUGCAUCGUGUACGUGAUUUCAAAUAACAUGAUUUCGUUAGCAUACACAAAAUACUCUUUCACAAUUAUAAACUCAUGUAUGCUUAAAAUCGAGAUAUAUACGU